GAUAUGGAAAGCGGCGGACGGGUGCGUAACGCGUAGGUAAUCUGCCCAUAUCAUCGGGAUAACACAACGAAAGAUGUGCUAAUACCGAAUAACAUACAAGUGCGGCAUCGCAAAUGUAUCAAAGUCAAAGCGGAUAUGGAUGAGCCUGCGUCUGAUUAGCUAGUUGGUAGGGUAAAGGCCUACCAAGGCAACGAUCAGUAGCCGACCUGAGAGGGUGAUCGGCCACACUGGAACUGAGACACGGUCCAGACUCCUACGGGAGGCAGCAGUGGGGAAUAUUGCACAAUGGGCGCAAGCCUGAUGCAGCAACGCCGCGUGAACGAAGAAGGCCUUCGGGUCGUAAAGUUCUGUCGCAUGGGAAGAUAAUGACGGUACCAUGUGAGAAAGCCCCGGCUAACUACGUGCCAGCAGCCGCGGUAAUACGUACGGGGCAAGCGUUAUCCGGAAUUACUGGGCGUAAAGGGUGCGUAAGUGGUCUGACAAGU
rnacentral:rRNA from 1 species